rnacentral:rRNA from 1 species
GACGAACCGUGCGAACGUUGUUCGGAAUCACUGGGCUUAAAGGGCGCGUAGGCGGGCAAGCAAGUCGAAGGUGAAAUCCCACGGCUCAACCGUGGAAGUGCCCCCGAUACUGCUUGUCUCGAGGGAGAUAGGGGCGUGCGGAACUUCCGGUGGAGCGGUGAAAUGCGUAGAUAUCGGAAGGAACACCGGUGGCGAAAGCGGCGCGCUGGAUCUCUUCUGACGCUGAGGCGCGAAAGCCAGGGGAGCAAACGGG